rnacentral:lncRNA from 1 species
CAUUUGAAAGCUGCCUUUACAUCUGUUUUGCCAAAAAUAGCCUAACUUUGCUGAGAGCGUGUGUUUAAGUGUGUGUGUACACAGCAGAUAACUCAUUCUUUUUCAUGCAGUGUCUCCUAGACUUUAACAAAAAGAAACAUUCAUGAUCUCUAAUAACAUUGUCCUUACUUGUUUGUAAAAUAUGCACAUGCACAACUUUGUUCUGUGACAAACAAGUCAAGUCUCUCAUGGAUUCUUUUUUAUUUACCAGCUGCUGCUGACACAUCUGGGCUGACAUUGCCUUGUCCGAAAGAGUUAAAGAUGCUCAUCCACCCACUGAGAUGCAGUCAGUCAGCUUGGCAGUACAAAACUAACACAAGUUUUUCACUCAAAAGUCCUGCAAAAGCUUUACCCUCCACCUCCCAAAGAGGAAACAUCUCACAUCCCUCAGUGCUUCACGGACAGUUCUACUAAAAAGACUCAUGAGAAGAGAAAAGUGAAACAACAGAGCGGAGCCAAUCAGAGCAGACGGAUGUACACAGUUCUACCUCCACCUCCAGGCUUUGAUUUACAUUCACAGGAAUCAGCUACACCUUUUGGAACACAAAGUAGAAACAGUGCAGAGGACCCAGUUGAGGACAUUGUUUAUGAGGCCACUGAAGAUGCACAUGAUGAGGAAGAGGAUGAAGAGCAAAUAGGAAGGAAGAGGAAAAGAAGGAAGAGAAAAGCAGCCAACCACCCACACUCUGAGAAGGACACACCCCUUUCUACAGUUCACGGCCAGACGGCCGGGGUUGAGGGAGGAGAGUCCUUAAUCAGCAAAAACAAAAAGAGAAAGCUGAAGAAAAAACGGCACAAAGAGAAGCUUCUGUCCAUGGGUUUGAUGCCCCGGGCUAAUGCGCUGGAGUUCACCUACCAGAAGGAUGUUCAGGGCCACGAAGAGCAGGUGGAGGAAGAGCAGGAGGAGGAUGGGAAAAGUGCUGCUGAAGUGACAGACUUCCUGAGAAGAACGCUGGAAAUGUGUAAAUCCGAUUCCAAGGCCUCCCACCUGUCUGCACCUUUGGAUGACCUUCUGCAAAGCAUCGUCAGCAGAUCUCGACCCGAGCGUGUCCUCGGCCUGCUGCACAGCCUCAAGGCUUUUGUUCAAGGCAAUGAAAGAGACAAAUUAGAAGAAGCGCUAAAAGAACUCCACAACAAUUGUGAUUUGUCUGCAGGGGAAACAUCUGCAAUCAUUUCUCUCUUCCAGUACUGGAUCACAGACAUUCUCCCGCUGCCAGCAGAUGAGAAGACACGGCUCUCCAGCACACACCACCACUGACUGUCAGUCACUGAGAAACAAAGGCACUGAUGCAGGACUAUUCCCUCAAUGUCACGUCACUUACAUUACAUUUAAUGGUUCUGACUUUACAUGUGAAUAUUUAAAUGGUAUUAAACAGUUUCUAUUUUUCUGUGAGCAGUCUUAUGUCUAGGGCUGUAGUCAACCAAGGAAAUGGUUGGUCGACCAAGACUAUGGCGCACGUAGCGAUUAGUCGACCAAAAAAAAAACCACAGAAUGAAUGUGCAGGUGCAGAGGAGGACGAGGAGAAAGAAAAAGAGACAAAUAUUUUUUUUUGGUGUUUUGUGGUGCUGAUUUGCUUUUUAACACAAACCAUUUGAUAUGAACCUUAUUCAAGCUUUGACCAGAACCCGACAAAGCAAAAGUGAAACCUACAGGUCCGACAGUAGGUAAUUAUAUCCGUGCCCGACCUGAAACCGAC